GACGAACGCUGGCGGCGUGCUUAACACAUGCAAGUCGAACGGUGAAGCGCCUUCCUUUUUGGUGGGUGUGGAUGAGUGGCGAACGGGUGAGUAACACGUGAGUAACCUGCCCCCUUCUUCUGGAUAACCGCAUGAAAGUGUGGCUAAUACGGGAUAUUCUGGGUCUGUCGCAUGAUGGGUCUGGGAAAGAUAUUGUUUCGGUGGGGGAUGGGCUCGCGGCCUAUCAGCUUGUUGGUGGGGUGAUGGCCUACCAAGGCGGUGACGGGUAGCCGGCCUGAGAGGGUGGACGGUCACACUGGGACUGAGACACGGCCCAGACUCCUACGGGAGGCAGCAGUGGGGAAUAGUGCACAAUGGGCGCAAGCCUGAUGCAGCGACGCCGCGUGAGGGAUGGAGGCCUUCGGGUUGCGAACCUCUUUCGCCAGUGAAGCAGGCCUGCCUCGUUUGUGGGUGGGUUGACGGUAGCUGGAUAAGAAGCGCCGGCUAACUACGUG
rnacentral:rRNA from 1 species